rnacentral:rRNA from 1 species
UGGGGAAUAUUGCACAAUGGGGGAAACCCUGAUGCAGCGACGCCGCGUGAGCGAAGAAGGCUUUCGAGUCGUAAAGCUCUGUCCUAUGAGAAGAUAAUGACGGUAUCAUAGGAGGAAGCCCUGGCUAAAUACGUGCCAGCAGCCGCGGUAAUACGUAUGGGGCGAGCGUUGUCCGGAAUUAUUUGGCGUAAAGGGUACGUAGGCGGUUUUUUAAGUCCGGUGUCAAAGCGUGGAGCUUAACUCCAUUAAGCACUUGAAACUGAAAGACUUAAGUGAAGGAGAGGAAAGUGGAAUUCCUAGUGUGGCGGUGAAAUGCGUAGAUAUUAGGAGGAAUACCGGUGGCGAAGGCGACUUUCUGGACUUUUACUGACGCUCAGGUACGAAAGCGUGGGGAGCAAACAGG